GGUUUGAAGAUUUAUUAAAAAAAGACAUAACUUUCUAUUCAUCAUUAUUUGGUUACAGGAUUACAUCAAGAGAAAGAAGAUAAUGAUACUUAUUCGGUGUAUAUGUAGUACUUAUUACAUGUAUUACAUAAUGUUGUUAUCACUUUUUCGAAUUUUUGUGUUUGUUUGGUUAGUAUUAUUUAUUUUGAAAAUCUUUGAACUUAAUUAUGUAAUACGGUCAUGUGCUUGUAUCGGGCUUGUUUUGCUUUCUCUUAACACUCAAAUGAUAUCUAUUACAAUAAUUUUAGAAAAUGCUAUAUCAUUAUUUUAGUUAAUGAGUAUUAUUUUUUGACUUCAUCAAUAUUAGGACCUUAUAUGACUGUUGUAUACAUCAUGUUUAUUUUGAACCACGUUUUAUUGUAU
rnacentral:lncRNA from 1 species